UACAGAGGGUGCGAGCGUUAAUCGGAAUUACUGGGCGUAAAGCGCGCGUAGGCGGUUACUUAAGUCGGAUGUGAAAGCCCUCGGCUUAACUGAGGAAGUGCAUCCGAAACUGAGUAGCUAGAGUACGAAAGAGGGUCGCGGAAUUCCCGGUGUAGAGGUGAAAUUCGUAGAUAUCGGGAGGAACACCGGUGGCGAAGGCGGCGACCUGGGUCGAGACUGACGCUGAGGCGCGAAAGCGUGGGGAGCAAACAGG
rnacentral:rRNA from 1 species